UACGUAGGGUGCAAGCGUUAUUCGGAAUUACUGGGCGUAAAGUGUGCGCAGGCGGCCGCGCAAGUCGAGUGUGAAAUCCCCGAGCUUAACGUGGGAAUUGCGCUCGAAACUACGUGGCUGGAGUGUGGCAGAGGAAGGUGGAAUUCCACGUGUAGCGGUGAAAUGCGUAGAGAUGUGGAGGAACACCGAUGGCGAAGGCAGCCUUCUGGGCCAACACUGACGCUCAUGCACGAAAGCGUGGGGAGCAAACAGG
rnacentral:rRNA from 1 species